UACGGAGGGUGCAAGCGUUAUCCGGAUUUACUGGGUUUAAAGGGUGUGUAGGCGGGUCUUUAAGUCAGUGGUGAAAUCUCCGGGCUCAACCUGGAAACUGCCAUUGAUACUAUUGAUCUUGAAUUUUGUUGAGGUAGGCGGAAUAAGUCAUGUAGCGGUGAAAUGCAUAGAUAUGACUUAGAACACCGAUUGCGAAGGCAGCUUGCUAAACAAAUAUUGACGCUGAGGCACGAAAGCGUGGGGAUCAAAC
rnacentral:rRNA from 1 species